rnacentral:rRNA from 1 species
AUAAGCAAAACUUUCAACAACGGAUCUCUUGGUUCUGGCAUCGAUGAAGAACGCAGCGAAAUGCGAUAAGUAAUGCGAAUUGCAGAAUUUCCGUGAGUCAUCGAAUCUUUGAACGCACAUUGCGCCCUUUGGUAUUCCGAAGGGCAUGCCUGUUCGAGCGUCAUUAUCAACCUUCAAACCCCGUGUUUGUAGUUGGGUCAAGUUUCGUUGAGAAACCGACCUCAAAGAUAAUGAUGGAGUCUGGGAAUGAUCCUCGAUGCGAUGAGCUUUUUCAAAGCAUGCAUUGAUCCCAUCAUCUCAGCCUGUCGUCCCUCUUUAAUUUUUAAAAGGUUGACCUCGGAUCAGGUAGGAAUACCCGCUGAACUUAA